GAGCAUACCGCGUGUGGGAGGAAGGCUCUUGGGUUGUAAACCACUUUUCUCAGGGAAGAAUAGAUGACGGUACCUGAGGAAUAAGCAUCGGCUAACUCCGUGCCAGCAGCCGCGGUAAUACGGAGGAUGCAAGCGUUAUCCGGAAUCAUUGGGCGUAAAGCGUCCGCAGGUGGCCUAUCAAGUCUGCUGUCAAAGCGCAGAGCUCAACUCUGUAAAGGCGGUGGAAACUGGUAAGCUAGAGUACGGUAGGGGUAGCGGGAAUUCCCAGUGUAGCGGUGAAAUGCGUAGAUAUUGGGAAGAACAUCGGUGGCGAAGGCGCGCUACUGGGCCGAAACUGACACUGAGGGACGAAAGCUAGGGGAGCGAAAGGGAUUAGAUACCCCUGUAGUCCUAGCCGUAAACGAUGGAAACUAGGCGUGGCUUGUAUCGACCCGAGCCGUGCCGAAGCUAACGCGUUAAGUUUCCCGCCUGGGGAGUACGCACGCAAGUGUGAAACUCAAAGGAAUUGACGGGGGCCCGCACAAGCGGUGGAGUAUGUGGUUUAAUUCGAUGCAACGCGAAGAACCUUACCAAGGCUUGACAUGUCGCGAAUCCUGGUGAAAGCUAGGAGUGCCUUAGGGAGCGCGAACACAGGUGGUGCAUGGCUGUCGUCAGCUCGUGUCGUGAGAUGUUGGGUUAAGUCCCGCAACGAGCGCAACCCUCGUUUUUAGUUGCCAGCAUUAAGUUGGGCACUCUAGAGAGACUGCCGGUGACAAACCGGAGGAAGGUGGGGAUGACGUCAAGUCAGCAUGCCCCUUACGUCUUGGGCAACACACGUACUACAAUGGUCGGGACAAAGAGCAGCGACCUCGCGAGAGUAAGCGAAUCUCAACAAACCCGGCCUCAGUUCAGAUUGCAGGCUGCAACUCGCCUGCAUGAAGGAGGAAUCGCUAGUAAUCGCAGGUCAGCAUACUGCGGUGAAUUCGUUCCCGGGCCUUGUACACACCGCCCGUCACACCAUGGAAGCUGGCCACACCCGAAGUCGUUACCCUAACCUUUCGAGGAGGGGGACGCCGAAGGUAGGGCUGGUGACUGGGGUGAAGUCGUAACAAGGUAGCCGUACCGGAAGGUG
rnacentral:rRNA from 1 species